GAUGAAGAACGCAGCGAAGUGCGAUAAGUAAUGUGAAUUGCAGAAUUCCGUGAAUCAUCGAAUCUUUGAACGCAAAUUGCACUUUCUGGUAUUCCGGAGAGUAUGCCUGUUUGAGGGUCAGUGUAAUAAAAAUAAAUCGUGGUUGUUACCACUUUUCGUGGUGACGCUUCGGAAUUGAGUCGUCUUACCUUCGGUUAAGUGACUUAAAAUUUUUUCAUACGAUUUCGAAACGUAUUUAAUGUAUUAUGUAUGUUCACGAAUAUCGAAUGUUUAUUAGUUGCGGUCAUUUUCAUGAAUCGUGUCUAUAAUUUUUUUUUUUGACCUCAAAUCAGGUAAGAAUACCCGCUGAACUUAAGCAUAUCAAUAAGCGGAGGA
rnacentral:misc_RNA from 1 species